rnacentral:rRNA from 1 species
UACGUAGGGGGCCAGCGUUGCUCGGAAUUACUGGGCGUAAAGGGUCCGUAGGCGGUGUAGCAAGUCGAUAGUGAAAUCUCUGGGCUUAACCCAGAGGCUGCUAACGAAACUGCUGUGCUAGAGUGUGAGAGAGGCGAGUGGAAUUACGGGUGUAGCGGUGAAAUGCGUAGAUAUCUGGAGGAACACCGGUGGCGAAGGCGGCAUUCUGGACCAUAACUGACACUGAGAGACGAAAGCCAGGGGAGCAAACGGG